GAGUUUGAUCGUGGCUCAGAUUGAACGCUGGCGGCAUGCCUUACACAUGCAAGUCGAGCGCGAAAGGGGGCAACCCCGAGUAGAGCGGCGGACGGGUGAGCAAUACAUCGGAACGUACCCAGUAGUGGGGGACAACCUCGAGAAAUCGAGGCUAAUACCGCAUACGACCCACGGGUGAAAGCGGGGGACCGCAAGGCCUCGCGCUAUUGGAGCGGCCGAUGUCCGAUUAGCUAGUUGGCGGGGUAAGAGCCCACCAAGGCGACGAUCGGUAGCUGGUCUGAGAGGACGACCAGCCACACUGGGACUGAGACACGGCCCAGACUCCUACGGGAGGCAGCAGUGGGGAAUAUUGGACAAUGGGCGAAAGCCUGAUCCAGCCAUGCCGCGUGAGUGAAGAAGGCCUUAGGGUUGUAAAGCUCUUUCGGCGGGGAAGAUAAUGACGGUACCCGCAGAAGAAGUCCCGGCUAACUUCGUGCCAGCCGCCGCCGU
rnacentral:rRNA from 1 species